CCUACGGGAGGCAGCAGUGGGGAAUAUUGGGCAAUGGGCGCAAGCCUGACCCAGCAACGCCGCGUGAAGGAAGAAGGCCCUCGGGUUGUAAACUUCUUUUAUCAAGGACGAAACAAAUGACGGUACUCGAUGAAUAAGCCUCGGCUAACUACGUGCCAGCCGCCGCGGGAAUACGUAGGUGGCAAGCGUUAUCCGGAUUUACUGGUAGUAAAGGGAGUGUAGGCGGGACUGCAAGUCAGAUGUGAAAACCAUGGGCUCAACCCCUGGCCUGCAUUUGAAACUGGAGUGCUUGAGUGUAGGAGAGGCAGGCGGAAUUCCGGGUGUAGCGGUGAAAUGCGUAGAUAUACGGAGGAACACCAGUGGCGAAGGCGGCCUGCUGGACAAUAACUGACGCUGAGGCGCGAAAGCGUGGGGAGCAAACAGGAUUAGAUACCCGGGUAGUC
rnacentral:rRNA from 1 species